AAUGGAAAAGGAGGGAGAUUUUUGUUUCCGCCCUGCCAGGUGGCUUAAUUUAAUCCUCCCCCCACCUCCCCUCCAGUGUGCGCGCGUUGCCCAUCAUGCAUAGUUGUGUCCUGGUUGUGGUGUAGCCAUCCGACCCUGUUCGUGCCCGGACACGCGCAGAGCUCAGCCAGCGGCAGCAGUGCAGCGCGGCGCCGUCGCCGUUGAUGGAGAGCAGGCGUCCGAGCUCCGUGCUUCUCUUGCUGGUGCUGCUGGCGGCGCCGCUCAUGGUGGCGUCGGCUGGCCCCUCGUCGCCGACGGCGUUCCUGGAGGACGACGUGGUCCUCGGCGCCGUGGCGAGGCUGGGCAAGGGCGCCAACGCCAGCGGGCGGGGCGGCGCCCGCUGCGACGUCGACGUCGACAUCUCCGCCGUCGUUGGCGGGCCGUCGCGCGAGCGCGGCGCGUCCGGGUGGAAGGAGGAGAUCGCGGGGCUGGCGGGGCGGCCGGAGAUGGCGGCGUGGCUGCGGCGGGUGCGGCGGCGGAUCCACGAGCGGCCCGAGCUGGCGUACGAGGAGGUGGAGACGAGCCGGCUGGUCCGCGAGGAGCUGGAGGGCAUGGGCGUCAGCUUCCGGUACCCGCUCGCGCGCACGGGCCUCGUCGCCACCAUCGGAACCGGCCGCCCGCCCGUCGUCGCGCUCCGGGCCGACAUGGACGCGCUGCCCAUCCAGGGCACGGUGAAGCUUCUGUUCCAGCCGGCGGAGGAGUCCGGCGCGGGAGCGAAGCGGAUGAUCGAGGACGGCGCGCUGGAGGGCGUGGAGGCGAUCUUCGCCGUCCACGUGUCGCACCAGCACCCGACGUCCGUGGUCGGGUCCCGGACGGGGCCGCUCCUCGCCGGCUGCGGCUUCUUCAAGGCCCAGAUACUCGCCCGCCGCGCCGGCGCCGACCCGGUCCUCGCCGCCUCGUCCACCAUCAUCAGCCUGCAGAGCCUCGUGUCCCGCGAGGCGGACCCGCUGGACUCACAGGUGGUGUCGGUGGCCAUGGUCAACGGCAGCUUCAGCCUGGGCGGGGACCCGGCGGCGCCGCUGGUGCUGGGCGGCACGUUCCGGGCCUUCUCGAACGCGAGCUUCUACACGCUGCGGCGGCGGAUCGAGGAGGUGAUGACGCUGCAGCCGCGGGUGCACGGCUGCGAGGCCUCCGUCGACUUCUUCGAGAACCAGAGCUUCUAUCCGCCCACGGUGAACCACCCGCGGAUGUACGCGCACGUCAAGGCCACGGCGCGGGCGCUGCUGGGCGACGCCGGCUACCGCGACGUGCCGCCGAUGAUGGGCGCCGAGGACUUCUCCUUCUACUCCCAGGCCGUACCCGCCGGGUUCUACUACGUCGGCGUGCGCAACGAGACGCUGGGGUCCGUGCACACCGGCCACUCCCCCUACUUCAUGAUCGACGAGGACGUGCUCCCCACCGGCGCCGCCGUCCACGCCGCCAUCGCCGAGAGGUACCUCGCCGGCGGCGCCGAGCGCGACGGCGAUCCACGCUCCCCGGAGCAGGAGCCGUGAACCUGCGAUCGGCCGAGACGUACAUACGCUGGCCCGGCCGGUUCUUGUUUAACUGAUCGAUCGACCGGAGUUGCGGUUGCGGGUUCAGUCCCGGGAGGGUGGCGGGAUCGACGUCGCGCGCGAGAGAACCGGUGGUUUUUGGCCGAUCACGCCGUGAUCUGGGCUGUCUUUUCCCCCCUCCGUGCUCGUGUUGGCUCUGAAACUUGCCGUUGAGACGCGGUUACGGUUUGGCUCCCGGGUUUUGCCUGCGGCCUUGUGGGUGUGGCCGUGCGUGUUUGUGCCUGCCGAACGUGAUCGGGAAACAUGCACCUUAGCACCGACAUUAACAUAUUCUGGAGAUUGAGAAGUACUAUCAGCUAUGUACAUAUUUCUUCCGGUGGCAUUUUCUUCUUUGAACGUUUUUCUUUCUUUUGGGUCUUGACUAUAUCAUAUCUAGAUGUGAGAUGAGAUAUUGUCUCACAUCUAAGUUUUGACAUCAGCAGAAAAUCAUUUGUAUUAUUUUUUC
rnacentral:rRNA from 1 species